UACGUAGGUGGCGAGCGUUGUCCGGAAUACUGGGCGUAAAGCGUGCGCAGGCGGUUAUAUAAGACAGUUGUGAAAUCCCCGGGCUCAACCUGGGAACUGCAUCUGUGACUGUAUAGCUAGAGUACGGUAGAGGGGGAUGGAAUUCCGCGUGUAGCAGUGAAAUGCGUAGAUAUGCGGAGGAACACCGAUGGCGAAGGCAAUCCCCUGGACCUGUACUGACGCUCAUGCACGAAAGCGUGGGGAGCAAACAGG
rnacentral:rRNA from 1 species